rnacentral:rRNA from 1 species
GACGAACGCUGGCGGCGUGCCUAAUACAUGCAAGUAGAACGCACAGUUUAUACCGUAGCUUGCUACACCAUAGACUGUGAGUUGCGAACGGGUGAGUAACGCGUAGGUAACCUGCCUGGUAGCGGGGGAUAACUAUUGGAAACGAUAGCUAAUACCGCAUAAUAUUAAUUAUUGCAUGAUAAUUAAUUGAAAGGUGCAAUUGCACCACUACCAGAUGGACCUGCGUUGUAUUAGCUAGUAGGUGAGGUAACGGCUCACCUAGGCGACGAUACAUAGCCGACCUGGGAGGGUGAUCGGCCACACUGGGACUGGGACACGGCCCAGACUCCUACGGGAGGCAGCAGUAGGGAAUCUUCGGCAAGGGACGAAAGUCUGACCGAGCAACGCCGCGUGAGUGAAGAAGGUUUUCGGAUCGUAAAGCUCUGUUGUAAGAGAAGAACGGGUGUGAGAGUGGAAAGUUCACACUGUGACGGUAUCUGACCAGAAAGGGACGGCUAACUACGUG